CGCUCUCUGCGGUGUUCGCCAGCAGGAACGUAAUAUGCCUUGUCCCUACGUAUUGACCUCGGGAUGGCGACUUUUCGGCUGGUGUGCAUAUUCGCUUUACCGCGAAUCGCCUGAAGGCUGGAAGAGCCAACCCACCUGAACCUCUGGUUCAAGGUCACCGACCUGCAGCGGCACAGGCGGAGAGCGC
rnacentral:other from 1 species